GCAGGUACCAGGAGCACUCAGCUGCUGAUGCCGUGCAGCCAAUGAAAGGUGGUGCUAUUGUGACGGAGCCUGCGAGUACGGCAGAGAGCCGGGCACCGGAGGACCCGUAGACGUCCUGGUUCACCUAGACGAUCUAGAAGUUCACUAGGCUCAACGAAGCACUAUUCAGAUGUGUUCGUCGUUGGUGGAUUUAAGUGGCGUGUGCUGAUUUUCCCCAAUGGAAAUAAUGUGGACCAUCUCUCCAUGUAAUUGGCUGUUGCAGACUCGGGGAACCUCCCCUAUGGAUGGAGUCGGUACGCUCAGUUUAUUUUUGCAAUUGUAAAUUAGCUCCAUCAGGAAAUUCCAAGGGGAUACAACUUGAAAGUUUUGAAUUGACUUGGAACAGUAUGAACUCGCUGAUUAAUGCUAUCUAUUUAGAUCAUUUACCGAACUUAUAUGAUGGUAUUGAACUCUGUUAGGAACUAAGUAUCCUGUGCAGGUACUACUGCAUGUAAGUUGUUGAUAGUGCUAUUGAAGAUGUACAUGAUACAUGUCUAGGUUAUCAAACAUACAUAGUGGGUCAAAUGUGUCCAGUUGAUGGAUAGAAUGUUUACUAAAAAUCAGUACUGAUAUUAUAAUUUCUAAUUGCACAUUUGAAGAUGUACAUGAUACAUGUCUAGGUUAUCAGACAUUCCUACUUCUAAAAGGAAUUCUUCUGCAGCUAUAAGACUCUUUUCACGGCAAUUAUAAUUUAGUACAGAUUCAAUGCCCAAACAAAAGGGUGUGACCAAUCACAGUAUGAUUCCUUGAAUCAAUGACGGCUGUAAUUUCACUAAACUGAGGACACUUCAUGCCUCUUACCUGAACAAAUAACAUGUCUUGUCAAACUAAGAAGACUAGGAUACAUGUCAUGAUGUAGCAAGAUGAAGUUGAGUAAGAUUUCCUGGUCAAGAUCAUUCAAAGUUUCUGCUAAAUGACUACAUAAUUUAUACAUGAACUUAACUAUAGUAAUGCAGAUGAUUCUCGAGGAGUUAUUCGAGGAAAGCUACCUUGUUAAGAGCCCGUCAGUUGAGUAGAAAUAUUUUUGCAUAAAAAAUAUUACGAGCUUCCUUUAACAUAUCAGAAUAUUGAUAUCUGCUAUCGUAAAUAGAAUUUACUGGGCCAAAUAGUUUUCAGAAUGCAUGAUACUAAAUUUUAUUUCUUGUAAUCUUGUAGGUGUGCUGCUCGUUUUUAGAAUUGCUUUGGUUACCUACCAUUCCAAUAGUAUAACAUGGUUCAUUUCUGAUCGUUGGUGUGAUGUAUUUCAUACCAUCAGUUACUAAAUGAGAUGCUAAUAUUUUCUUAA